GCGGGUAUAGUUCAAUGGUAGAACAUCAGCUUCCCAAGCUGAGAGUGGGGGUUCGAUUCCCCUUACCCGCUCCA
rnacentral:tRNA from 3 species